AAUGUUAAGAGAUUUGCUUAAGAUAUAUAUAUACUAGAUUUUAACCCGCGGUAUACCGCGGGAAUAAUUUAUUUUUUAAUGUUAGUAUAUAUAAAAGUUUACAAAUUGCAUCUAUCUAUAAAAUAUUUUUAUUUUAUAGUUUACAAUUGUUAUUAAGUAACGUCCUGCCAAACCCGUCCCGUCAACCCAUCCCGUAAAAAAACCCAUUUAUUUUAUUAAUGUUGAUCUUAUUUAUGAUAUGUUUAUGAAUCAUUGUCUAAAUAUUUUGUAAUUUUGUAGUAAUUAAAUGCUAUCAAAUUAUAUCUAUGCGCUUUGAUGAUUAUAAUCCAAUUGUUAUAGUCAUGGAGAAAAGUAAUAUCAAAAAUGAUAAUUUUGUAGUAAUUAAAUGAUAUUAAAUAUUUUGGAAGUUUUAUUUUAGUAAAUAAUCGUGUAAUCGUGUAGUUAAUGUGAAGAGAUUUUGGGAAGAUUGUUAAAUGUCAAAUAUUUAAUUCGAAAUUUUUUUUCUAAUUAUCAAAAACAAACAUCAAAAUCUAGUGGCAGCCAUUGUAAAUAAGUCCCAACUACAGGAUUUAUUUCACAAAAUGGCUGCAAAAAUGUAUAUAUAGGUACACAAUAGUGAAUAAAGAAAAUAGUUUAAAAGCAAAACCCUAAAUAAAAUAAAAGAUUGAGAGGCACGUUUUCCUCAAAGAUCAAUGACGAUACCCGAGCUGCCAAAGGAUUUGAUAGAGGAGAUACUCUGUUACGUUCCGGCGACAUAUCUGAAACGAUUACGUUCUACUUGCAAAGGAUGGAACCGUUUAUUCAAAGAUGAUCGA
rnacentral:sRNA from 1 species